rnacentral:rRNA from 1 species
CCUACGGGGGGCAGCAGUGAGGAAUAUUGGUCAAUGGGCGAGAGCCUGAACCAGCCAAGUCGCGUGAGGGAGUACUGCCCUAUGGGUUGUAAACCUCUUUUGUCGGGGAGCAAAAGCCGGACGUGUCCGGCUGUGAGAGUACCCGAAGAAAAAGCAUCGGCUAACUCCGUGCCAGCAGCCGCGGUUAUACGGGGGAUGCGGGCGUUAUACGGAUUUAUUGGGGUUAAAGGGUGCGCAGGCUGAUUUUUAAGUCAGCGGUCAAAUCGUGGGGCUCAACCCCAUCCUGCCGUUGAAACUGGGGAUCUAGAGUGUGCGAGAGGUAUGUGGAAUGCGUGGUGUAGCGGUGAAAUGCAUAGAUAUCACGCAGAACCCCGAUUGCGAAGGCAGCAUACCGGUGCACAACUGACGCUCAGGCACGAAAGCGUGGGUAUCGAACAGGAUUAGAUACCCUAGUAGUC